CACAUAUUCCAUUUAUGCUGGAAUCAAUGCUGGAAUUGACAUGGUAAUGGUUCCCCUUAACUUCACAGAUUUCAUAGAUGGCUUAACCUCUUUGGUGAAAAGUAAUGUCAUUCCAAUGAGUCGAAUUAAUGAUGCAGUAAGGAGAAUCUUGAGGGUAAAGUUUGUUAUGGGCCUUUUUGAGAACCCUUUGGCUGAUCAUAGCCUAGUUCACCAGCUUGGGAGUAAGAAACAUAGAAAAUUGGCUAGGGAAGCUGUAAGGAAAUCUUUGGUUCUAUUGAAAAAUGGUGAAAAUCCUAACCAACCACUUCUCCCUCUUCCUAAAAGAGCUUCAAAGAUAUUGGUUGCUGGAAGCCAUGCUAAUAAUCUAGGAUAUCAAUGUGGUGGUUGGACCAUUGAAUGGCAAGGAGUUACAGGAAACAAUGUCACAAAAGGUACAACAAUCCUCAGUGCAAUAAAAAACACAGUUCAUAAAGAUACUGAGGUAGUCUAUGAGGAAAAUCCUGAUUUGGACUAUGUGAAGUCCAAUAAUUUUUCAUAUGCCAUUGUGGUAGUUGGAGAGAAACCGUAUGCUG
rnacentral:sRNA from 1 species